GACGAACGCUGGCGGCGUGCCUAAUACAUGCAAGUCGAACGAGAGCGACCGGUGCUUGCACUGGUCAAUCUAGUGGCGAACGGGUGAGUAACACGUGGGUAACCUGCCCAUCAGAGGGGGAUAACAUCCGGAAACGGAUGCUAAAACCGCAUAGGUCUUCGAACCGCAUGGUUUGAAGAGGAAAAGAGGCGCAAGCUUCUGCUGAUGGAUGGACCCGCGGUGCAUUAGCUAGUUGGCGAGGUAACGGCUCACCAAGGCCGUGAUGCAUAGCCGACCUGAGAGGGUGAUCGGCCACAUUGGGACUGAGACACGGCCCAAACUCCUACGGGAGGCAGCAGUAGGGAAUCUUCCGCAAUGGACGCAAGUCUGACGGAGCAACGCCGCGUGAGUGAAGAAGGUUUUCGGUUCGUAAAACUCUGUUGUUAGAGAAGAACAAGUGCUAGAGUAACUGUUAGCGCCUUGACGGUAUCUAACCAGAAAGCCACGGCUAACUACGUG
rnacentral:rRNA from 1 species